rnacentral:rRNA from 1 species
UACGUAGGGUGCGAGCGGUAAUCAGAUUUACUGGGCGUAAAGCGUGCGCAGGCGGCCCGUUAAGACAGGUGUGAAAUCACUGGGCUCAACCUAGGAAUUGCGCUUGUGACUGGCGGGCUCGAGUACGGUAGAGGGGGGUGGAAUUCCUGGUGUAGCAGUGAAAUGCGUAGAGAUCAGGAGGAACACUGAUGGCGAAGGCAGCCCCCUGGGCCUGUACUGACGCUCAUGCACGCAAGCGUGGGGAGCAAACAGG